CCUACGGGAGGCAGCAGUGAGGAAUAUUGGUCAAUGGACGAGAGUCUGAACCAGCCAAGUAGCGUGAAGGAUGUCUGCCCUAUGGGUUGUAAACUUCUUUUAUAUGGGAAUAAAAUGUUCCACGUGUGGGAUUUUGUAUGUACCAUAUGAAUAAGGAUCGGCUAACUCCGUGCCAGCAGCCGCGGUAAUACGGAGGAUCCGAGCGUUAUCCGGAUUUAUUGGGUUUAAAGGGAGCGUAGGUGGAUUGUUAAGUCAGUUGUGAAAGUUUGCGGCUCAACCGUAAAAUUGCAGUUGAAACUGGCAGUCUUGAGUACAGUAGAGGUGGGCGGAAUUCGUGGUGUAGCGGUGAAAUGCUUAGAUAUCACGAAGAACUCCGAUUGCGAAGGCAGUUCACUGGACUGCAACUGACACUGAGGCUCGAAAGUGUGGGUAUCAAACAGGAUUAGAUACCCGAGUAGUC
rnacentral:rRNA from 1 species